CCAGCGCGGCUUCGUACGCGUCGUUUCAACGGUGCAAACCACUCGGCUGAGCGGCGCCGCUUUCUGGCGGCGUUUUGUCUCUGCUUUGUUCGCCAUUUUGAAAUCUUUUAGUUUGUGUGUGCGCGCGACAAAACCUGUAAUGGCGCUAAGCAGCAGGGACUUGUGGGGUGUGCAACGCGGCAGCUGCAACGGACCUUUUUGCGACUGUCGGCGGCACAUCGUUGUCUCUUCGUCAGACGACUCAGUAGAGAACUCCAGCCGUUGCGACUAUUGCAACCACUGUCCAGGUGCCCAUGGCAGAAUUACGGACUUGGACUGCUUAAACAAGACUGCUGGACGGAGGCGCCAGUGCCGCCUGAACGGUAUGACCACGGUGGAAGACGGAAGUUAUACGACGGCUGUACAAGAGCAAAAUACUGGAAUGGCCGAAGUACCCCAGCAGGGCCCAUAGCCAGGUUGCCCGAAAGCUCUGCAUCGAAGUCGAACUCAAGUUUCAAUGCAAGAUUGGUGACCUGGACGAAAACCUAAAAGCAGUGGCAGAAGCGUUCACAUGCAAAGAGCAACGUGAGUGCAUAUUCAUCGACAUUGGAAGUGCCGAUGAAAUUAUAAGGAUCACAAGUGGAAACAUACAGCGGGCCCUCAUGUUUUGCCUGCUUACCUACUGCAUAAAAAACCUUUAGUACCCGCCUGCAUUCUCACCGACGCUUGUGCUACUGCAAAAAAAAAAAUACCCUGCCAGACACAACAGUGCCUUGUGGACUGCUCACAAACCACCUGAAGAAUAUUCUCGAAUACUCUUGAAAAAGAAGAAUUUGUGUUAAGUUCAAAAAACAAAUGUGCUAAGACAGGGUACGUCCCAAGAUGCUGAAGUAUGUUCUCAACGGAUGGCUUCAGUCUUUUUGUGAACUUCACUGUAUUUGUUUCAUUUGUUGCAUUGAGUGUUGUCAAACUUAAAAUGCUAUUUGAAUUACCUGUUGGUCUUAUGUUUGCUCGAGGUGAUACGAGAUGUUAGAUUUUACUUUGGUAUUUAAGGUGCAGGUAUAUGUUUGUAUACUCUUGGCGAUUCGUGCUGAAUUUCCUAAACUGAUACUCAAAAACUGCAGGCGCAUGCACCUGACAUACAUAUAGGUUAGCAUAGUCGUUUAAAAUCAUGGCUUUCUUUCAUUAUUUUGUAUUUGGCUACAAGCGUUGAUGGUCUUUGUAUUUUCUGUGCUGAUAGCACCAUUUUUAAGCUUCCAACAAGAGCUGCUUUAAUGUCUCCUCAGAGUUGUGAUAAAGUCUAUAGCCACAAUAUUACAUUGCCUCUUUUUACACCAGUUGUAUGUUUACUGCGGCGUUCAUGAAGUCAGUCUGAGUUAAUAGCUCACUUUAAAGCAUGGCUUUUUAUUGUGUGCAUAUUUCUGCAUCAUGAUAGCAGUGUCUACUUUUAUUUUUAUUGUGAAGGGAGCAAUCUGUUGUGGAAUUUUUGGAAAUUGUGAUUUCAUGUGAGAACUUUGCUUUAUUACACGGCACCUUCAUCAUGGUUCCACUUUUCGCACUGCAAACAGUUAUAUAAUAUGAGGUCAGACUUAUAGUGCAUUAUAUGCAGCACUUAUUUUGACAGAUAUUUGCUCUGUAGUACCUGUUCACUACAUAAGAAAAACCUCACAAAUAUAGUGCCUUGACCAUAUAUACAUCACCUGUAUACCGUAGGUUUUCUUUAAUAUUGCGUAGACUCAGGAAGUCGGGCUUCAUUGUGUAAUAGUAUGCGUCGUUGUGGGAGGUAUGCUUUGGUAUUGUGGUUAAGGUACAUUAUGUAUUUAUGUCUGUCAUCAGUGAUAUUAAAGGCGGUGAGUAUUCUUGAA